rnacentral:rRNA from 1 species
UGAGGAAUAUUGGUCAAUGGACGCAAGUCUGAACCAGCCAUGCCGCGUGCAGGAAGACGGCUCUAUGAGUUGUAAACUGCUUUUGUACGAGGGUAAACGCAGAUACGUGUAUCUGUCUGAAAGUAUCGUACGAAUAAGGAUCGGCUAACUCCGUGCCAGCAGCCGCGGUAAUACGGAGGAUUCAAGCGUUAUCCGGAUUUAUUGGGUUUAAAGGGUGCGUAGGCGGUUGGAUAAGUUAGAGGUGAAAUCCCGGGGCUCAACUCCGGAAUUGCCUCUGAUACUGUUCGGCUAGAGAUCAGUUGC